ensembl:snRNA U4 U4 spliceosomal RNA
AGCUUUGCGCAGUGGCAGUUUCGUAGCCAAUGAGGUUUAUCCGAGGCGUGGUUAUUGCUAAUUGAAAACUUUUCCCAAUACCCCGCUGUGACGACUUGAAAUAUAGUCGGCAUUGGCAAUUUUUGACAGUCUCUAUGGAGA